UACAGAGGUCUCAAGCGUUGUUCGGAUUCAUUGGGCGUAAAGGGUGCGUAGGCGGCGCGGUAAGUCGGGUGUGAAAUCUCGGAGCUUGACUCCGAAACUGCAUUCGAUACUGCCGUGCUUGAGGACUGGAGAGGAGACUGGAAUUUACGGUGUAGCGGUGAAAUGCGUAGAUAUCGUAAGGAAGACCAGUGGCGAAGGCGAGUCCCUGGACAAGACCUGACACUGAGGCACGAAAGCCAGGGGAGCAAACAGG
rnacentral:rRNA from 1 species